ACAAAGCGCUGAGGCUCCCUGAGGCUCUGAUGACGUGUUCUCUCUCCUCUGUUUGUAGCCAGUGUUCUGUUGCAUUGGAGGCGAACACACCGUGGGAAUACAAGCUGUAUCCAGGUUCCAGAUGCUGCAGACGUCCGCCCAGCUGUUAGGACCGCCUCUCUGCUCAGCACUCAUCUCACUCUCCACAGGCUGAUGGAGGACCGUUUUUUCCCGCUCUGUGAGAUUCACUGUCAGACAAAAUAAGAAAACAGUGGAUUUACAGGGAAGAAGCUGCCGGGCACAAUCACACCCUGAGGAUGUUCAGAGAGUCCUGGAUCCUGGAGCGGGAUGCCACGAUUCCCUCUUGGCUGUGACAGCACGAAGGAUCCUGGCAUGAUGGAGAUUGGCCACAACUGACCACAUUAUUUCCACCAGUGUUUUCUCAGCCAGAGAGGAAUUAUCAUCUACCAGGGGACAUUAGUGUUCACGGCCGGGCCCCUGCAGCCAAGGGCCCCAUGUGUAGAAGACUUUAAAGGGCUCAUGAUAAAUAUUGAUGAAUCGGAGCACACUUCCAUCUGUGGUCAGAACGAGACGAAAUGAGCCAGUGUGCUCCUUAAAAAACUGCUUGUUGGACGGUCAGAUAACAUCUGAACCUCCCUCACACACACACACACACACACACACACACACACACACACACACACACACACGCCCUCCUCACGCUGCGAUUGGUCAGAUGACCAGGGUUUCAACUUCAACACAAACUAUUUCUGCCACUUUUCAUGUCAUCAACUGAGAUCGACACCAUGAAGGUCUUCCUGGAGAAUCUGCUCCGCUCACUUGUUCCCGGGGUAAAUCACCAUGGUAACUGAUGCUGAGCUCCUGACCUGCUCCGGAGCAGGAUCAGUGGAGUCAUCAUUCCUACAGGAUCCUGACGGGGACAAAACAGUUUACAAUCAUGUGACAAACAAUAAGGAGCAGUAGAUAUUUUUAUAAAUCAGUCGAAUCGUUUCGCUUCGCUGCUCCAGACCAGGGUAACUAACGACAUAAUAACUAAUAUAACUAGAACCACCUCCUCGUGGUCGUAUCCCUCCGCCACUCAGACUAGUUCCAGGUCACUUCCUGUUAAUCCAGAGGCCGAGAGAAUAUGAACCAUUUGUGUGAAACUUUGGCUAAGAAGUGUAUUCUGAGGUCACACUGAUCUUGACCUUUGACCUUUGACCACCAAAGUCUAAUCAGUUCAUCCUUGAGUCCAGGUGAACAUUUUUACCAAAUGUGAAGAAGUUCCAUUGAGACGUUACUGAGAUAUCGAGUCCAGGAGAACGAGAUGAACAAAUGGACGACCUGAAACAAUAUUUUUGAUGACGGUUAUUAUAGUAACCAUAGUGACGAUUGAGGUACGCCUCUCUCGGUACAGUUUAUAACUGUAACCAUGACAACCAAGGUCCAGUUCGCCUGCCGCCGAGGAGGAGACGCUGCUACGGGUCGUAUCAGAGGGUUGAUGGUUGUUCAGACAGGUAGAGCCGGACAGGUAAACCCAGGGUUAUCACCUGGAUCAGAUCACCUUCCUGCCGCAGGUUAUCAGGACGGACGAUGUCAGGUUCAGAUGAGCCAGAUAACGGAAAGUUAUCCUGGAUAAGUUGAACAGGUUUCAACUCUGGGACCAUGAACGUCUGCACUAAAUGUCGUCCAGUAGCUGCUGAGAUAUUUCAGUCUGGACCACAGUGGUGGACUGACACUGACCAUCCCUGUGUAUACACAGGUGUAACUACCUGCAACCAAUCACGUUAGAGUCUUUGAUGUGCAGUAAUCCCCAGUCUCAGGCGCCUCCAGGGUUUAAGGAGUCGACAUAAAUGUGGCUGUGAGACUCAGAGAGCGUGAGCUGUUUGUGGAUGAGGUGACUGCUCUGUUGUCAUGAACCUGCUGCGACCCCUGCAGACAGGUCACACAUGCACAGUAAUGCUUACAGUAGCGGGCUGCGUGCAGGCCUGUGUGGGGAGAACAGCCUCCCUCUGAUGGGUGAUGUAAGGUAUUGUUGUGGAGCUGUCAGAGCUUAUCAAAAUGUGACAGUGCUGGAGAAAUAGCUGAAAACGUUUCGGGGCUAUGAACACCGCCAGGAGCUCUAAGUAAUUUGUUUUGGCGAAGCGGAGCCGCGAUGGCCAUUUGCCGUUCGCUACCAUUCUGCACACAGCCCCCAGCCCAUCAGACUGUUGUGACAACUUUCCUCCGCGACGUUGCUUCCAGCAGAGCGCUCAGACUAAAAAAGCUCUGGCUGUGUGCAGCGGGCUGAGCCAGGAGAGGAAGACUGUGGUCAAAGACGUCAUCAGGAGCACGGAGGCAGAGCAGCACUAAAACUCUCUAUUUUCAGCUGGACUGGACAAAUGGGGCAAAAAUUGUCAGUGGGUCCAGAUCUCAUCCCUGGGUCCUGUAGAUUAAACAUAUAUAUAUGAACAAAUACGUCCUGAGAGAAAUGGAGGAAAGAUUUUUAAGUAUCUGCAAAAAAGCCACAAACUAUUUCCUUUGUUCAUUUGCACUUACACUCUUGGUUAAAGCUGCUCCAGUGUAAAGGUCUGUGUCCAUGUGUAGUGUGAUUAUAGAUCAGCUCUAGCUUCUAUAUUAAUACUGUGAAAGUAUCAAAGCCUCAGUCCACAGAGAAAUGCACACAGCCUGUAUUCAGAAACUGAGCCUUAAAACCAGCCGUCAGGACUUCUGGAACUUUGUGAUGUCACAACAAAGCAGUCACCAAGCCCCGCCCACCUGGACCCACCAUCCAAACCUUGCAGGAUUUGGUUUCUCUGAGUGUUUUUACCUGAAAUCUGCUUUAUUUUUAUUGGAUCACUCAGAAAACAGUCAGCCAAUCAGAAGAGAGGCUCAGAGCCUCCUCUCCUCUGAUUGGCUCACCGACCUGUUGUUACUAGAGCUGCAGAGAGAAGCCUGAGAGAGGAGAUGUAAAACUAC